UACGUAGGGUGCAAGCGUUGUCCGGAAUUAUUGGACGUAAAGAGCUCGUAGGCGGUCUGUUUACGUCGGCUGUGAAAAACCUGGGGGCUCAACCUCGGACUUGCAGUGGGUACGGGCAGACUAGAGUGUGGUAGGGGGAGACUGGAAUUCCUGGUGUAGCGGUGGAAUGCGCAGAUAUCAGGAGGGAACACCGGUGGCGAAGGCGG
rnacentral:rRNA from 1 species